UACUUAAUUCCCUUUAUUUAUUUCAUCAAUUCCCUACUUUUUAAUUAAUCCAACUUAUUUUUAAAAUUACCCUAAUAAAAUCCCUUUUCCAAAAAAAUCUAUUUUAAAUCCACAAAUGCCUAUCCACUUAUGUUUCUUACAAACUUAAUAAAAAUCUCAAAUCUCUCUAUAAAACUGUAGGGUCCAGCUAUGGUACCACAGUGGUACCAUACCAUAGUUGGAUCCUGUCAUUGGAUCCAGUUAUGGUGACAACUGUGAGUUGGAUCCAAUUGUUAGAUCCAGCUGUGGUAUGUUACCAUGGUGAUACCAUAGUUUUGUCCUAAAAUUACCCUAGUAUUAAUUAAUCCAACUUAUUUCUAAAAUUACCCUAAUAAAAUCCAUUUUCCAAAAAAAUCUAUUUUAAAUUCACAAAUGCCUAUCCACUUAUGUUUCUUACAAACUUAAUAAAAAUCUCAAAUCUCUCAAUAAAACUGUAGGGUCCAACUAUGAUACUACAGUGGUACCAUACCAUAGUUGGAUCCAGUCAUUGGAUCCAGCAAUGGUGACAACUGUGAGUUGGAUCCAAUGAUUAGAUACAGUUGUGGUAUGAUACCAUAGUUUUGUCCUAAAACUCUAUGUGCAGCUUGAAAGUUUUGUUUUAUUUUAAGUUAAAAUGAUUAUGGACCUACCAUGUUACAAAACAUAAAGAAAACAAAAAUAUUGUUUUAAUUUUUAGUGUUGGAAAACUUAUCCUGUUCAUCGGUUCUAUUUUUCACUUUAAUUUCAUAUCAGCUAAAAUGCAACGUGGGAACAAAACUUCUACCAUAUGAAGUUUGUUGACUGUAAAUUGAACCAAAAACAAGAAUUGGAAAUUGAAUUGAUACUUCUUUAUGUGAAAUUCUUUUGGGGUUGUUUUUCCUUUCACAGUACCCAGCCUUUCCAUUUCUUUCAAAAUUGUUUUGUUGAAGAAUUGUUUUGUUGCUAAUUUAGUGAAAGAUUUGGCCUAUCACAAACCCACAAAAAAAAAAAAAGAUUGAUUUGUAAGUGAAAGCCUGAAAUAGACGUCAUAAACAAUGACGAGGAGUCUACGGCACUUUCAAUUGUUGCAAUUGAUGUAGGGAUGGCAAUGGGGAGGGGAGGGGAGGGGACCAAUCUCCCCGUACCCAUUCCCGAUAUUUUGCGUAUGUUCCCGUUCCCUCCCCGUCCCCGUCAGGAUUACUUGAGAGAAUCUUCAUCUCCUCCUCGAAUAAUAACAGGGGAUCCCCGAGGUCCCUGAUCCCUGAAUAACUAAUACAUUUUUUUUAUUUUCGAUUUUGAGUUAAUCAUAUUAAAAUAAAAAAUUCAAAUAAAAGUAAAGUUUGAAAUAUAUCUUACAUUAAUAUCCAUUACAAAAUUCACAUACAUUAAAUUAGUAAGUAACACAGCAUGCAAGGGAGACAAACUUCUUUUACAAACUAUCAUGAACAAAUUAAUAGUCUAAUACAAAAUUGUUACAAAUAAAAUCGAAUUUAGAUUCAAAAUUAACUUUUUUAAUGGUGGCGUGGGCACUUUGUAAAUGUGGACUAUUCCCUUUACAACACAAUAGUUAUAUCGGAGCAAAUCAAGAGCAAAUAUUAGAUUAGAUUAGAUUAGAUAUUAAAAUUGAGAUUCGUUGUUGGCAAUUAUAACAUC
rnacentral:lncRNA from 1 species